rnacentral:rRNA from 1 species
UACGUAGGGUGCGAGCGUUGUCCGGAAUUAUUGGGCGUAAAGGGCUCGUAGGCGGUUUGUCGCGUCGGGAGUGAAAACCAGGUGCUUAACACCUGGCUUGCUUUCGAUACGGGCAGACUAGAGGUAUGCAGGGGAGAACGGAAUUCUUGGUGUAGCGGUGAAAUGCGUAGAUAUCAAGAGGAACACCUGAGGUGAAGACGGGUUGCUGGGCUGACACUGACGCUGAGUGCGCGAAAGCCAGGGGAGCAAACGGG